UACGUAGGGUCCAAGCGUUAUCCGGAAUUACUGGGCGUAAAGCGUUGCGUAGGUGGCAUGGUAAGCGAAUAGUGAAAUGACGAGGCUCAACCUUGUGUCCAUUAUUUGAACUGCCAAGCUAGAGAAUGAGAGAGGUUAGUGGAAUUCCCUGUGUAGGAGUGAAAUCCGUAGAUAUAGGGAGGAACACCGAUGGCGUAGGCAGAUAACUGGCUCAUUUCUGACACUAAGGCACGAAAGCGUGGGGAGCAAACGGG
rnacentral:rRNA from 1 species